CCUCGAUCCCACGGGUACCCGGUGUAAGUCCGGGCUGAGACGCCGUCACACGGCGAACCGUCGAACCUGAUCCGGUUAGCACCGGCGCUAGGAAGGACAAGACAACCAUGG
rnacentral:ncRNA from 1 species